UGGGGAAUAUUGCACAAUGGGCGAAAGCCUGAUGCAGCAACGCCGCGUGAGUGAUGAAGGCCUUCGGGUUGUAAAGCUCUGUCUUUUGGGACGAUAAUGACGGUACCAAAGGAGGAAGCCACGGCUAACUACGUGCCAGCAGCCGCGGUAAUACGUAGGUGGCAAGCGUUGUCCGGAUUUACUGGGCGUAAAGGAUGCGUAGGCGGAUUUUUAAGUGAGAUGUGAAAUACCCGGGCUUAACUUGGGUGCUGCAUUUCAAACUGGGAAUCUAGAGUGCGGGAGAGGAGAAUGGAAUUCCUAGUGUAGCGGUGAAAAUGCGUAGAGAUUAGGAAGAACACCAGUGGCGAAGGCGAUUCUCUGGACCGUAACUGACGCUGAGGCAUGAAAGCGUGGGUAGCAAACAGGAUUAGAUACCCUGGUAGUCCACGCCGUAAACGAUGAGUACUAGGUGUAGGAGGUAUCGACCCCUUCUGUGCCGCAGUUAACACAAUAAGUACUCCGCCUGGGAAGUACGAUCGCAAGAUUAAAAACUUAAAAUGAAUUGACGGGGGUCAUAGCUG
rnacentral:rRNA from 1 species